CCCUCAACGUGAGGACUCCCCCACGUUCUGACUCAGGAGAGGCGACACCCCAAAUCACUCACGAGAAAUGGUCUUGCUGCAAACUGCAAGAGGACUUUUAUUCAAGAGCGCUCUCGGGCCCAUGGUCAUACACCAUGCAGGGGUAGAGGACCGUGGCACCCCAAGUAGCUGGAUGUUCUGGGUGCUCAGCUCUGGUAUUCUUUCCUGAGGACUCUUGGGAGCAUCUGACAUCUUCUUCACCUGCCUCCUGUCUGCAUCCUUCCUUCAGUCUUCAUUCCUGCUUCUAACCUGGAACCUGCUGUGUCUUCAAGAACCCUUGGCCUGGAGGAUAGCAUGGAAAUCUACAGUUUGAGAGUGGUGUGCCCACAGGAGCUGGGGUGACCCCUAACCCUCAGUACCCCCAAAGUUGCCUCCUUUCCUUUAGGCCAC
rnacentral:lncRNA from 1 species